rnacentral:rRNA from 1 species
AACCUGGUUGAUCCUGCCAGAUAGUCAUACGCUUGUCUUAAAGAUUAAGCCAUGCAUGUCUAAGUAUAAGCAACCUAUACUGUGAAACUGCGAAUGGCUCAUUAUAUCAGUUAUAGUUUAUUUGAUAGUCCCUUACUACUUGGAUAACCGUAGUAAUUCUAGAGCUAAUACAUGCGUGAAGUCCCGACUGCCUCGGCGGAAAGGAUGUAUUUAUUAGAUCGAUACCAGCCCGCUUGCGGUUCUUGGUGAAUCAUAAUAACUGAGCGAAUCGCAGCCUCGUGCAGCGAUGGUUCAUUCAAGUUUCUGCCCUAUCAGCUUUCGAUGGUAGGGUAUUGGCCUACCAUGGCGUUAACGGGUAACGGAGAAUUAGGGUUCGAUUCCGGAGAGGGAGCCUGAGAAACGGCUACCACAUCCAAGGAAGGCAGCAGGCGCGUAAAUUACCCAAUCGUAACUCACGGAGGUAGUGACGAAAAAUACUAAUACGGGGCUCUACGAGCUUUGUAAUUGGAAUGAGAACAAUUUAAAUCCCUUAACGAGGAUCAAUUGGAGGGCAAGUCUGGUGCCAGCAGCCGCGGUAAUUCCAGCUCCAAUAGCGUAUAUUAAAGUUGUUGCAGUUAAAAAGCUCGUAGUUGAAUUUCUGGGCGGCCCGCCGGUCUUCCAAGUGUUGUACUGGGCGGCGCCGGCCAUCCUUGUGGAGAGGGCUCGCAUUUGGUUGUGGGUCGGAUCUGCAUCAUUUACUGUGAAAAAAUUAGAGUGUUUAAAGCAGGCUGUCGCUUGAAUACAUUAGCAUGGAAUAAUAAGAUAGGACUUCGGUCUAUUUUGUUGGUUGCGAACCGAGGUAAUGAUUAAUAGGGAUAGUUGGGGGUAUUCAUAUUUAAUUGUCAGAGGUGAAAUUCUUGGAUUUAUGAAAGAUGAACAACUGCGAAAGCAUUUACCAAGGAUGUUUUCAUUAAUCAAGAACGAAAGUCAAGGGAUCGAAGAGGAUUAGAUACCCUCGUAGUCUUGACCAUAAACUAUGCCGACUCAGGAUUGGCAGGCGUUUUCUAACGACCCUGUCAGCACUGUAUGAAAAAUCAAAGUCUUUGGGUUCCGGGGGGAGUAUGGUCGCAAGGCUGAAACUUAAAGGAAUUGACGGAAGGGCACCACCAGGAGUGGAGCCUGCGGCUUAAUUUGACUCAACACGGG